CAAUAAUAUCAGAAGCCAUAAUAUUUGUAAAACAGCUUGAAAAUAUGAUAGUUGUAAAAGCUAUUCCAUGACAGAAGUCCAGAGAUGGUGAGUUAGCACAACUGAACUGUGGGGCGUGUGGCCAAUGCUGAGGCUGAGGAGAGAGAGAUGGGCGUCAGGGGGAUGUGGCCAGGAGGAAAUAAGAGCAAAUUCCUCCAAAACGCUCUGACAGGAAAUGACAGAGUAUCAGUCUCCUACCACUCCACUCGGCCGCUUCUGGAGGGAAAAAGGCCUUCCUAAUCACGGAGCGGAGCCAGAGCGCAGUAGGGACGGUGGCUGCUACAUGCAGUUUCAGAUCAAUCUGCUAUCGUCACUGUGCCUGAGACCCAAAUAA
rnacentral:lncRNA from 1 species